rnacentral:rRNA from 1 species
GGCCAGACUCCUACGGGAGGCAGCAGUGGGGAAUAUUGGGCAAUGGAGGCAACUCUUACCCAGCAAUGCCGCGUGAAUGAAGAAGGUCUUCGGAUUGUAAAGUUCUUUAAUUGGGGACGAAAAAAAUGACGGUACCCAAGGAAUAAGCCCCGGCUAACUACGUGCCAGCAGCCGCGGUAAUACGUAGGGGGCAAGCGUUGUUCGGAAUUACUGGGUGUAAAGGGAGCGUAGGCGGGAAAGCAAGUUGAAUGUUUAAGGUACGGGCUCAACCUGUACAAGCGUUCAAAACUGUUUUUCUUGAGUGGAGUAGAGGUAAGCGGAAUUCCUAGUGUAGCGGUGAAAUGCGUAAAUAUUAGGAGGAACACCAGUGGCGAAGGCGGCUUACUGGGCUUUAACUGACGCUGAGGCUCGAAAGCGUGGGUAGCAAACAGGAUUAGAUACCCCAGUAC